GACGAACGCUGGCGGCGUGCCUAAUACAUGCAAGUUGAGCGAUGAAGCUUGGUGCUUGCCCCAAUUUGAAGAGCAGCGAACGGGUGAGUAACGCGUGGGGAAUCUGCCUUUGAGCGGGGGACAACAUUUGGAAACGAAUGCUAAUACCGCAUAACAACUUUAAACAUAAGUUUUAAGUUUGAAAGAUGCAAUUGCAUCACUCAAAGAUGAUCCCGCGUUGUAUUAGCUAGUUGGUGAGGUAAAGGCUCACCAAGGCGAUGAUACAUAGCCGACCUGAGAGGGUGAUCGGCCACAUUGGGACUGAGACACGGCCCAAACUCCUACGGGAGGCAGCAGUAGGGAAUCUUCGGCAAUGGACGAAAGUCUGACCGAGCAACGCCGCGGGAGUGAAGAAGGGUUUCGGAUCGUAAAACUCUGUUGGUAGAGAAGAACGUUGGUGAGAGUGGAAAGCUCAUCAAGUGACGGUAACUACCCAGAAAGGGACGGCUAACUACGUG
rnacentral:rRNA from 1 species